CCUACGGGUGGCAGCAGUGGGGAAUAUUGGGCAAUGGACGCAAGUCUGACCCAGCCACGCCGCGUGCAGGAAGACGGCUUUCGGGUUGUUAACUUCUUUUUAUGGGGCAGAGCAGAAGACGGUACCCCUUGAAUAAGCCACGGCUAACUACGUGCCAGCAGCCGCGGUAAUACGUAGGUGGCCAGCGUUGUCCGGAUUUCCUGGGUGUAAAGGGCGUGCUGCCGGAGAGACAAGUCAGAUGUGAAAUCCACGGGCUCAACCCGUGAACUGCAGUUGAACCUGUUUCCCUUGAGGGUCGGAGAGGUAAGCGGAAUGCGUGGUGUAGCGGUGAAAUGCGUAGAUAUAAGGAAGAACA
rnacentral:rRNA from 1 species